AGGGAUCAUUACAGAGUUGAAAAACUCCCAAACCACUGUGAACAUACCCGUAACCGUUGCUUCGGCGGGCGGCCCCAGGGAGGGGCCGCAGCCUCCAUUGCGGAGGCGCCCGCCGGAGGACACCAAAACAUACCUAUAUUUUUGUGGCCCUUCUGAGCGAUAGCGCAAAUAAUUAAAACUUUCAACAACGGAUCUCUUGGUUCUGGCAUCGAUGAAGAACGCAGCGAAAUGCGAUAAGUAAUGUGAAUUGCAGACUUCAGUGAAUCAUCGAAUCUUUGAACGCACAUUGCGCCCGCCAGCAUUCUGGCGGGCAUGCCUGUCCGAGCGUCAUUUCAACCCUCAAGCUCUGCUUGGUGUUGGGGCACUACGGUUGACGUAGGCCCUGAAAAUUAGUGGCGGGCUCGCUGUGGGUCCGGGCGUAGUAGCGAUAUCUCGCCUGCGGCCCCCAGCAAGCUCCAGCCGUUAAACCCCCCAAAUUACAGAAGGUUGACCUCGGAUCAGGUAGGACUACCCGCUGAACUUAAGCAUAUCAAUAAGCGGAGG
rnacentral:rRNA from 1 species